AGAGUUUGAUCCUGGCUCAGGACGAACGCUGGCGGCGUGGCUAAGGCAUGCAAGUCGAACGGACGUACCUGGAAGGAAACGGAAGGGUGCGUUAGUGGCGGACGGGUGAGGAAUACAUGAACGACGUACCCUGGACGCGGGGAUAGCGGCGUCCCGCUUGUCGGGACAUUAGCGAAAGUGCCGGUAAUACCCGAUGACCCCAUCGGAUCGCAUGGUCCGGUGGGCAAAGGCUCCGACGGUCCGGGAGCGGUUCAUGCCCUAUCAGCUUGUUGGUGAGGUAACGGCUCACCAAGGCAACGACGGGUAUCGGGCGUGAGAGCGUGGCCCGACACAUCGGAACUGAGACACGGUCCGGACACCUACGGGUGGCUGCAGCAACGAAUAUUCCGCAAUGGGCGAAAGCCUGACGGAGCGACGCCGCGUGCAGGAAGAAGUCCUUCGGGAUGUAAACUGCUGUCGGGGGUUAGGAAUAAAUGACCAGCCCCAAAGAAGCACUGGCUAACUCCGUGCCAGCAGCCGCGGUAAUACGGAGAGUGCAAGCGUUGUUCGGAAUUACUGGGCUUAAAGCGCGUGUAGGCGGAGCAUCAGGUGCCGUGUGAAAGCCCCGGUCUCAACCCGGGAACGGCUCGGCAAACCGGUGCUCUUAAGGCAGGUAGAGGCGACUGGAACGACUGGGAGCGGUGAAAUGCGUAGAUAUCAGUUGGAACGCCGGAGGCGAAAGCGGGUCGCUGGACCUGUCCUGACGCUGAGACGCGAAAGCGUGGGUAGCGAACAGGAUUAGAUACCCUGGUAGUCCACGCCGUAAACGAUGCGCACUAGGUAUGAGAGGUACUGACGCCGAUCGUGCCGAAGCAAAAGUGAUAAGUGCGCCGCCUGGGGAGUACGGCCGCAAGGCUAAAACUCAAAGGAAUUGACGGGGGCUCACACAAGCAGUGGAGCAUGUGGAUUAAUUCGAAACAACGCGCAGAACCCUACCUGGGUUUGACAUGCUUGGAUGCUCUCUUGGAAACAGGAGUAGGUUGCCUUCGGGUGAAACUUGCACAGGUGCUGCAUGGCUGUCGUCAGCUCGUGCUGUGAAGUGUCGGGUUAAGUCCCUUAACGAGCGAAACCCCUACCGUUAGUUGCCAGCGGGUCAUGCCGGGGACUCUAGCGAGACUGCCGGUGUCAAACCGGAGGAAGGUGGGGAUGACGCCAAGUCAUCAUGGCCUUUAUGCCCAGGGUGUCUCACGUGCUACAAUGGUCGGUACAGAGCGACGCGAUACCGUGAGGUGGAGCAAAUCGCAGAAAACCGGCCCCAGUUCGGAUUGGAGUCUGCAACCCGACUCCAUGAAGUCGGAAUCGCUAGUAAUCGCGUAUCAGCCAUGACGCGGUGAAUGUGUUCCUGAGCCUUGUACACACCGCCCGUCAAGUCAUGGAAGCCGGGAGUACCCGAAGUCCGCUUAGCUAACCCUCGGGGGGCGGCGGCCGACGGUAAGACCGGUGACUGGGACUAAGUCGAAACAAGGUA
rnacentral:rRNA from 1 species